rnacentral:lncRNA from 1 species
CAUUAUCAGAAGAUGAAUUAAAUAUUUCAGUAUGCUUGCUUUAUGGUUUUAUCUGUAUUUAUUUAUAUAAAUUCUGAUUGGAGAAAGUUUCUGAUGUUAAAAAUAGAGUUCAAUUCGUGAGUUAAUGUGUAAUUUUUUUGGGUAGUUGACGUGUUCAAUAUUAAAUUUUCUCACUUCGAUUAAAUCUUAAUAACGUGUUUCCGAAACUCCAGCAAAUUAAAUAUGGCA